CGAUCAUCAUUUGAUCUUAUGGAUCAUCAUGGCUUGCUUCUCAAACAAGGUUCUUUAAUCUGUCUUUCUCUCUCCUCUUCCUCUCUCUGAUGUAUCAUUGUGAUAAAGAAUGGAAGCAUAUGCUCUCUCUCUCUUUCUCUUCAGGAAAAUGUGCAUGUUGGAACAUCUCUCCUGACAUCUGUGGGAGAAGCUGAUGGCAGAAACAAUACACGAGAAAUCCUCAACAACGCCCAAGGGCCGGAAAAUGUGUACUUUGAGAACAUCUCUCCUGACAUUGUGGGAGAGAUGAUGGCAGAAAACAAUAUUCGAGAAAUCCUCAACAACGCCCAUGGGCAGGAAAAUGUGUACUUUGAGAACAUCUCUCCUGACAUUGUGGGAGAGAUGAUGGCAGAAAACAAUAUACGAGAAAUCCUCAACAACGACCAAGGGCCGCUAGCCACCUGAUGAUUGGUCAGGUCAGGCGUCACGACGGCGGCCGCGGAGGACAGGCCAUCGCCAUGACGACUCCUGGGUACAAGCUGACCCCUGGCAUCUGACCUCUGAACU